UUAGGAGGCAUUGGGCAGGCUUAUGGCAUAGCUGUGUCAUGAGAAAGUUGGUUCUUUAUUCGAUGUUUUAUUCUAUGUAAUGGCGCCGAGCCGGGCUCCCUCAAGGGCUGCUGAAUAUAGCGCCAACCUUUCCUUUCUCAAAUGAACCACUUUCUAUGGAAUAGCGGCUCAGUCAGAACUUUGCCCCGUGCGGUGUUCGUCUCGCAAGCUGCAGUGAUGGUGACGCGGGCCGUGCCUGUGGACGUUUCUUUUCGCCGCCAGUACCGCCAGUGUGCGGCUUGGUGGCUGCGAUGUCCUAACUGCUGUUCGACAAACCUGUGAAUGCCAGCCAGGGCCAGAAGCUGAUUCGGUGCGAUUAGGGGGAAGAAGUGCUUCGUGCCGAACUGCAGUUCGGGCUACCGGACUUGUGCGGAUAGAGUGCCGAUUUUCAGAGCUCCUGCAGAGAAUGCUCGUCUAGAACUGUGGCGCCGGGCUAUACCAAGAGCCGACAAGGCUUUGAAAUCGAGUGACCAUGUCUGCGCCAAGCACUUUACUGAGGACAUGAUAUCGAAAUCGUACUACGGAGAGUAUGACGGCAAGGUAAUUUUGAACUCUCCCAAAAGAGCGAUGCUGUCGGUGAACGCGGUGCCCAGCAUUUUUCCCGAGUGUCCGAAAUAUCAGAGUGCGAAGAAAAGUUCAAGGAAGCUUCCUGAAGAACAACAGCCUGGAGCCGUGGGUUCCAAGUGCCUCGCACCCUCCGCUGACGCUGAUGCAGCCGCAAGCCCAUGCAAGAAACGACGCACAGCUUGCUCCAGUGCACCCAGCGUCUCACUUCCUCAAGAACCAUGCCCUUGUCUCCCAUUGGAGCUUGCAGACACCUCUCCAAGUACCAGCACAGAUUUCCAUCGCACGCAUGAUGUAAAGCAGCAAGUAUCGCAGAGUCAGCAUACUUUGGCAGGCCCCAUCCAGUGAAAGUUCCUCGGAGUCCAAACCCCAGUCGCAGUCCUUACAGAGCCAGGAGCCAACUGUGGCAGCUCCAUCUAGUGACAGUUCCUCUUACACCCUGCCCCAGGUUCGGAAGUGCCAGUGCUGCUGCCAUCCUGUGAUGAGCACAAAGGCAGUACAGACUGCCUUGCCUCAAUUCACGGUCAGCACACAGAGAUCAAGCACUUUGUUGCAGUUUUCC
rnacentral:lncRNA from 1 species